GUGAAUCAUCAAAUCUUUGAACGCAUAUUGCACUCUCUGGUAUUCCGGAGAGUAUGCCUGUUUGAGGGUAAUUAAAUAGAAUCUUUAACAAUUUUUUUGGUCAAAUGAAAUGAGUUCUCCGCGUGUAUAGCGGUAGCUUGAAAUAAAUGAUCAAGUCUCAUUUUAUUCGAGACGCGUAAUAAUAUUAUUUCGCGAAAUCGUCAUUAUGUGACUAUCAAGUUUUGGUGCAUACAAAUUUGGUUGGUAUGCGAGCAAUACAAAUAUGUUGAACAUUACAUCAAAUCAGGUAGGAGUACCCGCG
rnacentral:misc_RNA from 1 species